UACAGAGGGGGCAAGCGUUAUUCGGAAUUAUUGGGCGUAAAGGGCGCGUAGGCGGCCUGGCAAGUGGAAGGUGAAAUCCCUCGGCUUAACCGAGGAACUGCCCUCCAAACUGCUUGGCUUGAGUCCGGGAGAGGUGAGUGGAAUUCCCAGUGUAGCGGUGAAACGCGUAGAUAUUGGGAGGAACACCAGUGGCGAAGGCGGCUCACUGGACCGGAACUGACGCUGAGGCGCGAAAGCGUGGGGAGCAAACGGG
rnacentral:rRNA from 1 species